CCUACGGGAAGCAGCAGUGGGGAAUAUUGCACAAUGGGGGAAACCCUGAUGCAGCGACGCCGCGUGAAGGAAGAAGUUUUUCGGUAUGUAAACUUCUAUCAGCAGGGAAGAAAAUGACGGUACCUGACUAAGAAGCCCCGGCUAACUACGUGCCAGCAGCCGCGGUAAUACGUAGGGGGCAAGCGUUAUCCGGAUGUACUGGGUGUAAAGGGAGCGUAGACGGUUGUGCAAGUCUGAAGUGAAAGUCCGCGGCUCAACUGCGGGACGGCUUUGGAAACUGUGUAACUGGAGUGCUAGAGAGGUAAGCGGAAUGCGUGGUGUAGCGGUGAAAUGCGUAGAGAUCGGGAAGAACACCGACGGCGAAGGCAGCAUACUGGACAGUAACUGACGUUGAGGCUCGAAAGCGUGGGGAGCAAACAGGAUUAGAUACCCCUGUAGUC
rnacentral:rRNA from 1 species